GCCUCUGUAGCUCAGUUGUUAGAGCGCUGCAGCGGAAUCGCAGGGCCGCAGGUUCGAUUCCUGCCAGGGACC
rnacentral:tRNA from 1 species